GCAGGCGCCACACGCUGAGCCGCCGCCGCAUCAUCCCCCUGCCCCAGUGGAAAACCAACCCCGAGACGGACCCCGAGGCCCUGUUCCACAAGGACCAGCUGGUGCUGGCCCUCUACCCGCAGACCACCUGCUUCUACCGCGCCCUCAUCCACGCCCCGCCCCAGCGCCCCCAGGACGAUUAUUCGGUGCUUUUCGAGGACACCUCCUACGCCGACGGUUACUCCCCACCCCUGAACGUGGCCCAGCGCUACGUGGUGGCCUGCAAAGAGACCAAAAAAAAGUGAAAAUUGG